AGUGAACGCUGGCGGUAGGCCUAACACAUGCAAGUCGAACGGCAGCACAGUAAGAGCUUGCUCUUACGGGUGGCGAGUGGCGGACGGGUGAGGAAUACAUCGGAAUCUACUUUUUCGUGGGGGAUAACGUAGGGAAACUUACGCUAAUACCGCAUACGACCUACGGGUGAAAGCAGGGGAUCUUCGGACCUUGCGCGAUUGAAUGAGCCGAUGUCGGAUUAGCUAGUUGGCGGGGUAAAGGCCCACCAAGGCGACGAUCCGUAGCUGGUCUGAGAGGAUGAUCAGCCACACUGGAACUGAGACACGGUCCAGACUCCUACGGGAGGCAGCAGUGGGGAAUAUUGGACAAUGGGCGCAAGCCUGAUCCAGCCAUACCGCGUGGGUGAAGAAGGCCUUCGGGUUGUAAAGCCCUUUUGUUGGGAAAGAAAAGCAGUAGGUUAAUACCCCGCUGUUUUGACGGUACCCAAAGAAUAAGCACCGGCUAACUUCGUG
rnacentral:rRNA from 1 species